UUGCUAGAAGAUGACGAGCGGCGGACGGGUGAGUAAUGCUUGGGAACAUGCCUUGAGGUGGGGGACAACCAUUGGAAACGAUGGCUAAUACCGCAUAAUGUCUACGGACCAAAGGGGGCUUCGGCUCUCGCCUUUAGAUUGGCCCAAGUGGGAUUAGCUAGUUGGUGAGGUAAAGGCUCACCAAGGCGACGAUCCCUAGCUGGUUUGAGAGGAUGAUCAGCCACACUGGAACUGAGACACGGUCCAGACUCCUACGGGAGGCAGCAGUGGGGAAUAUUGCACAAUGGGCGCAAGCCUGAUGCAGCCAUGCCGCGUGUGUGAAGAAGGCCUUCGGGUUGUAAAGCACUUUCAGUCAGGAGGAAAGGUUAGUAGUUAAUACCUGCUAGCUGUGACGUUACUGACAGAAGAAGCACCGGCUAACUCCGUGCCAGCAGCCGCGGUAAUACGGAGGGUGCGAGCGUUAAUCGGAAUUACUGGGCGUAAAGCGUACGCAGGCGGUUUGUUAAGCGAGAUGUGAAAGCCCCGGGCUUAACCUGGGAACUGCAUUUCGAACU
rnacentral:rRNA from 1 species